rnacentral:lncRNA from 1 species
GGUUCGCACUGCGGAGUAUCAUGUUAAAGACCCCCAUCCAGCCCGCUCAGCUUCGUUUAGGAAGAUGACAAACUGACGUGAAGCAGCUGCGCAGUGUGUGACGUCUCUCGGUUCUAUUUUAAUUGGCUUAUUUGCCCAACAACGAUUUCUUGAAUGCCUCCUGUAAAGCAGAGCAAUCAAAUGAAAUGUCCCCUGGGUUUCCUAAUCGAAGCUGUCUGCUCUGCCUUUGUGUUAGAAACGUGGGUUUCAAUACGUGUUCCUGUGUGACCAUAAGUUUCCCCAUCCUAAAAAGUCAAGACAUUUAUGAAUAUGGAAACCUGUAACUCAACAUCUUCAGUUUCCGGAGGAAGAAAAAUCUCCCCCAUAAAACCUGUGAGGGUUGCAAACGAACGGGGAAGGAGGUGAAAAAUGUUACUGUUGCUUUCCUAGAAAUCAACAUAAAUGGACAGUUUGAAUAAUUUUAAAUGUGGCAGAGCACCGCAUACCUCAGGAAAACCCCAUGAAGGAAGAACAUCUAUUCAUUAAGAGCCCAAAUAUUGACCAGAGAAAAUGUAGUGAAAGAAAAAAAAUAAAGUUUUGCAGUAGCAUGGGAAAUAAAUCACAGGAUCUAAACAUCUCCUCACACUUGGCUGAUGCCUACGUCUAGUACCUUU